GCAGAAGUUGUUGGGCAAACCUGUGGAGUUCUCUUAAAAGGCCAGUGGGAAACGGGACUUCUUUGACCUUCAGCCUUCUUUCCCUCCUCCAACCUGGGCUGCAGAUGAGGUGAUAGCUUGACAGCUAUCUUAGCUCACAAGAUUCCUCAGCACCUGCUCUGAUAGGGCUGAAAGUUCUUUGAAAAAUUUAUCUCCUGAAUAAUGAAACAACGGCCUGAGGGAGGAACGUGGAAACAGACGGUUUACAGCCAAACCCCAGAAGGAGGCUGCGGACUUCUUGAGUCUCCUGAGGGACCCGCGGGUCUUCUUUGGGAAAGGAAGGAUUGUCCACCUGGCUUAGCAUUCCAUCUCUACAACUGAAGGUUGAAGUCCCUCAUGCUGACCUUUAAAUAACGGAUGUGAGGGUCGUUCCAGCGUGGCUGCACUCGGAAAGAUGCCCUUCAUCCUGUCCAGGAUACUAGAUUGCACCAAUGCUUUUAUCCAGCACGAGGGAGCAGAGUGCUACCCGGACAUAAGUGGGACAUGUGGAAAUGGGAGCUUUGUUGGAUCUGAGGGACAAGGCAUGCCGCCUGCACAGUGAACUUGAGUGAUUGCAUGUACCUAUUAUGGUUCCAACAGCGUUCUGUUGCAAUUUCCUGUUCUGUUCCCACCGAGCAAGAGACUCAGCCUCUCUGGGUUCUGGGCAGUUUGUGGCUUCAGCAGCAAGCAUUCCAAGAAGGAGACCAGCUUCUGGAGUUGAGCCCUGACUUCCGUUUGUCCCUGCAGGAGACUCAAAGUCUCCUUUCAACACUCAUUCAUUCUCUUGCUGAGGGCCUGGUAGUUUCUUGGCUGCCCCAGCAAGACACCUGGGAUGGUCACGCAGAACAGUCACUCAUCCCACUCUUCCCCCGCCCCCCCCCCACACACACAGGUCUUCUAGCCCUGGCCCUCUGGCAUUCUGGUUAAAGCCCUGCAUUUUCUAUAUUUGAUCCAGGAAGGUAUUGCCUGUCUAUAGGCAUCAGACCCUGUAGUGGGCUGACACUUUCUCAGUUGGCUGGGUCACUUGUGACUGGGCCACUGUUUCUAGUCAUUGACAGCUUUUCAUCUCAAGCCCCUUCAACCCUCUUCUUGUCUUGAAACUGUUCCCAUAAUUUUGGAAAGCUCCCAGCCAAUGGUGGGUCAGCAUCCCAGGCCCUCGAGAAUUCCAUGGACUGGCCAAUGCUUGAAGUUUAUCAGAGGGCUCAACAAGAUUCAGCCUGGAUCCCCAACCCACAGCACAUGUAUUUCCGGAUUUCUUCUGUGCUUCCCCUAUUCCCCCGCUCCCUCUCCUGGGCUUCAUGGAGGUGCCUCCAGAGUGAGCCGCUUGCACCAAUGAUCUUAGAAGUAAUAGAAUGAAUACAUAUCAAGGUGGGUUUAUUAGAUUGGCUUCCAUGAUAUAGUAGUCCGACAAUGGCUGCCAUCAGAAACUCUGAUAUGCUAUGAUCAGGGAGACUGAGAACCAGCGGCUGUUCUGUCCAUGAGGCUAGAUGCCCCAGCAGUCUAGAACCAGCAAUCUGGUACUGGAGGUCUGCUGGGUUCCUCAAGAGCCAAGGGUCUUCUAUAGUGGAGGGCUGAGGAAGUAGAGUUCCCAUAUCAACCAAGGAUGGUGGUAGUAGCAGCAACAGCAGCAGCAGGGUAGAUGCACCCACAGUGAGGCCUGUACUUCCACUGACUGUGUGGGUCCCAGGGAUUGAAUGCCAGUCAUCAGGCUUGGCAGCAGGCGCUUUGCAUGGUAACCCAUCUCACUGGCCCCACAAUUCUUUAUGAAAAAGAAACAAUAUACAAAUGCACUCGAAUCUCUAACAGACGCGACAUAUGCAUAUCAAAGAAUUCUUUAAAAUAAAUGUACUGAUGAUUUAUUACCAGUGAAUUUUUAUUUGAAUAUUUUAUAUACCUAUGCAAAAAAAAAAUUAUUUCUUGUGUAAAAAGGAGUUAUAGCUGGAAAAAAGUGCAAGAGACUGUAGCUUAAAUCUUCAUUGGUUUCUUUAGCCAAGACAUGCUGUGUUGUCCAGGAUAGUCAGUGUACAGAAUAAAAUCAAGGAUAAGCA